GAUGAACGCUGGCGGCGUGCUUAACACAUGCAAGUCGAGCGAACAGACGCGGAUUUUGUUCCGUUCUCGUUUGGCGCGCACGUGAGUGAAACAUGUGGAUACUCUCCUUAACAGUGUGAGAUCUUCUCGGGACUCGGGCGCUUACCGGGGAUAAUCUCCUGCACCGCAUGGUUCAAUAGAGAAUGUCGGCUUUUCUGUCUCUUCUCGCUGCUUCCGAGCCGCAUUAGCUAGUUGGUAAGUUAACGGCUUAUCACGGCAAGGAUGCGUAGCCGACUUGAGAGGGGGAUCGGCCACACUGGAGCUGAGACACGGUCCAGACUCCUACGGGAGGCAGCAGUAGGGAAUCGUCCGCAAUGGGCGAAAGCCUGACGGAGCAACGCCGCGUGAGUGAUGAAGGUCUUCGGAUCGUAAAACUCUGUUAUUAGGGAAGAACAAAUGUGUAAGUAACUAUGCACGUCUUGACGGUACCUAAUCAGAAAGCCACGGCUAACUACGUG
rnacentral:rRNA from 1 species